rnacentral:rRNA from 1 species
UAAUACGGGGGGAGCAAGCGUUGUUCGGAUUUACUGGGCGUAAAGGGCGCGUAGGCGGCCACCGCAAGUCGACUGUGAAAUCUCCGGGCUUAACUCGGAAAGGUCAGCCGAUACUGCGGGGCUAGAGUGCAGAAGGGGCAACUGGAAUUCUCGGUGUAGCGGUGAAAUGCGUAGAUAUCGAGAGGAACACCUGCGGCGAAGGCGGGUUGCUGGGCUGACACUGACGCUGAAGCGCGAAAGCUAGGGGAGCGAACGGGAUUAGAUACCCCGGUAGUCCUAGCCUUAAACGAUGAAUGCUUGGUGUCUGGGGUUUUAUAGUCCCCGGGUGCCGUCGCUAACGCUUUAAGCAUUCCGCCUGGGGAGUACGGUCGCAAGACU